rnacentral:tRNA from 3 species
GGACUCGUAGUAUAGUCUGGAUAACACGGAGGCCUCCGGAGCCUCAGUCCCGGGUUCAAAUCCCGGCGAGUCCG